rnacentral:rRNA from 1 species
UGAGGAAUAUUGGUCAAUGGACGCAAGUCUGAACCAGCCAAGUAGCGUGCAGGAUGACGGCCCUAUGGGUUGUAAACUGCUUUUAUAUGGGAAUAAAGUGAGGGACGUGUCCCUUAUUGCAUGUACCAUACGAAUAAGGACCGGCUAAUUCCGUGCCAGCAGCCGCGGUAAUACGGAAGGUCCAGGCGUUAUCCGGAUUUAUUGGGUUUAAAGGGAGCGUAGGCUGUUUGUUAAGCGUGUUGUGAAAUGUAAGAGCUCAACUUUUAGAUUGCAGCGCGAACUGGCAGACUUGAGUGCGCACAACGUAGGCGGAAUUCAUGGUGUAGCGGUGAAAUGCUUAGAUAUCAUGACGAACUCCGAUUGCGAAGGCAGCUUACGGGAGCGCAACUGACGCUAAAGCUCGAAGGUGCGGGUAUCGAACAGG